UGCAAGUCGUACGGGAUCUUUUUGGUAGUAAUACUAGGAAGGUCCAGUGGCGCACGGGUGCGUAACACGUGAAUUACAUGCCCUUGAGUGGGGGAUAGCCCAGGGAAACUUGGAUUAAUACCCCAUGGACUCGCAAGAGUAAAGGUGGCCGCAAGGCUGCCGCUCAGGGAUUGGUUCGCGGCCUAUCAGCUUGUUGGCGGGGUAACGGCCCACCAAGGCUACGACGGGUACCUGGUCUGAGAGGACGAUCAGGCACACUGGAACUGAGACACGGUCCAGACACCUACGGGUGGCAGCAGUCGAGAAUAAUUCACAAUGGGGGCAACCCUGAUGGUGCAACGCCGCGUGGAGGAUGACGGUCUUCGGAUUGUAAACUCCUGUCAUCCGGGAGUAAGACCUGGCUGUGAAUAGCAGACAGGGUUGAUAGUACCGGAAGAGGAAGGGACGGCUAACUUCGUGCCAGCAGCCGCGGUAAUACGAAGGUCCCGAGCGUUGUUCGGAAUCACUGGGCGUAAAGGGAGCGUAGGCGGUGCGGUAAGUCAGAUGUGAAAUCCCGGGGCUCAACCCCGGAACUGCAUCCGAUACUGCCGUGCUAGAGGAUUGGAGAGGUAGCUGGAAUUCUUGGUGUAGCAGUGAAAUGCGUGGAUAUCAAGAGGAACACUCGUGGCGAAAGCGAGCUACUGGACAAUACCUGACGCUG
rnacentral:rRNA from 1 species